UAAUACUAUAAGAACAGUAAUAACAAAAACAUAGCUUCGUAAAUUGCAAAUGAUAGCAGCUGUUGGAUAAGGGAAUUCACAUACAGCAUCCCAGUUCACUCGCCACUAAUUAACUGAGAACCUCUUAUCAACCGUUUUGCGGUCACAAACUGACUCAUCACAACCUUAUUCUGUACUGCAUAAAGGCCAAAAUUGUAUGAGAUGUUAUUUAAGAGAUGCAAAAGUAAGUUUGUUGUGUUAAAUAAAGUUGGUAUAAAUAUGCUAUAAUCGUUGGUAGAGCAUCAUUCGUAGCCAUUGCACUUCAGUGUUAUUUUGAAUCAAGAAUUAUUUGAAUAAAUUAUUAUUUUAUUUUAAUAAUUAAAUAAAUAACUAUUAAAAUGAACUUCUCAAGAAUAUUUUUGUUCGUGUUCGCGUGUUUGGUGGCAGCGUGCAGCGUGUCGGCCGCGCCCGAGCCCAGGUGGAAGGUCUUCAAGAAAAUUGAGAAGGUGGGCCGUAACAUCAGGGAUGGUAUCGUCAAAGCUGGACCAGCGAUAGCAGUCCUCGGUGAAGCCAAAGCCUUAGGAUAAAAAUCUAUAAUAAUAUGUAAUAGUAUUACUAAUUAAGAUUUAAGUCGCAUUUAAAUACUCAUUCUGCCAUAAUAAAUAUUUUUUAAGUACUUA